rnacentral:rRNA from 1 species
AUUGAACGCUGGCGGCAUGCCUUACACAUGCAAGUCGAACGGCAGCACGGGAGCAAUCCUGGUGGCGAGUGGCGAACGGGUGAGUAAUGUAUCGGAACGUACCUUUCAGUGGGGGAUAACGUAGCGAAAGUUACGCUAAUACCGCAUAUUCUGUGAGCAGGAAAGCAGGGGAUCGCAAGACCUUGCGCUGAUUGAGCGGCCGAUAUCAGAUUAGCUAGUUGGUGAGGUAAAGGCUCACCAAGGCGACGAUCUGUAGCGGGUCUGAGAGGAUGAUCCGCCACACUGGAACUGAGACACGGUCCAGACUCCUACGGGAGGCAGCAGUGAGGAAUAUUGGGCAAUGGGCGAAAGCCUGACCCAGCCACGCCGCGUGAGUGAUGAAGGCCCUCGGGUCGUAAAGCUCUGUGGAGAGGGACGAAAACCCUGGUUUCAAAUAGGCUCCAGGCUUGACGGUACCUCUUUAGCAAGCACCGGCUAACU